rnacentral:rRNA from 1 species
UGAACGCUAGCGGCAGGCCUAACACAUGCAAGUCGAGGGGUAACAGAGAGAAGCUCGCUUUUUUGCUGACGACCGGGGCACGGGUGCGUAACGCGUAUACAAUCUGCCUUAUACAGAGGGAUAGCCUUUAGAAAUGAAGAUUAAUACCUUAUAGUCUAUUUUUAUAGCAUUAUAUAAAUAGUAAAGCUUCGGUGGUAUAAGAUGAGUAUGCGUCCUAUUAGUUAGUUGGUAAGGUAACGGCUUACCAAGACAACGAUAGGUAGGGGCCCUGAGAGGGGGAUCCCCCACACUGGUACUGAGACACGGACCAGACUCCUACGGGAGGCAGCAGUGAGGAAUAUUGGACAAUGGAGGCAACUCUGAUCCAGCCAUGCCGCGUGCAGGAUGACGGCCCUAUGGGUUGUAAACUGCUUUUAUAUAGGAAGAAACCUUUUCACGUGUGAGAAGCUGACGGUACUAUAAGAAUAAGGACCGG